GACAGAGGAUGCAAACGUUGCUCGGAAUUACUGGGCGUAAAGCGCGUGUAGGCGGCUUGGUAAGUCGGACGUGAAAUCCCGGGGCUCAACCCCGGAAGGGCGCUCGAUACUGCCGAACUUGGGUCCUGAAGAGGAGAGCGGAAUUCCCGGUGUAGAGGUGAAAUUCGUAGAUAUCGGGAGGAACACCAGUGGCGAAGGCAGCUCUCUGGGUCCCUACCGACGCUGGGGUGCGAAAGCAUGGGGGAGCGAACAGGG
rnacentral:rRNA from 1 species